rnacentral:rRNA from 1 species
AGCAGCCGCGGUAAUUCCAGCUCCAAUAGCGUAUAUUAAAGUUGUUGCAGUUAAAAAGCUCGUAGUUGAAUUUCGGGGUUCUUCCGUUGGUCAGGCUAACAAGUCUGUACUAGCGUGUAGAAUCUCUACCUUCUGGGGAACCAUCAUGUUAUUAAUUUAGCGUGGUGGGAAACCAGGACCUUUACCUUGAAAAAAUUAGAGUGUUCAAAGCAGGCUUACGUCUGAAUACAUUAGCAUGGAAUAAUAAAAUAGGACGGUGGUCCUGUUUUGUUGGUUUCUGAAUCACCGUAAUGAUUAAUAGGGAUAGUUGGGGGCAUUAGUAUUCAAUUGUCAGAGGUGAAAUUCUUGGAUUUAUUGAAGACUAACUUCUGCGAAAGCAUUUGCCAAGGAUGUUUUCAUUAAUCAAGAACGAAAGUUAGGGGAUCGAAGACGAUCAGAUACCGUCGUAGUCUUAACCAUAAACUAUGCCGACUAGGGAUCGGACGAUGUUAAAUUUUAUUGA